rnacentral:rRNA from 1 species
CUCGUAGGCGGCCAACUAAGUCAGACGUGAAAUCCCUAGGCUCAACCUAGGAACUGCGUCUGAUACUGGAUGGCUUGAAUCCGGGAGAGGGAUGCAGAAUUCCAGGUGUAGCGGUGAAAUGCGUAGAUAUCUGGAGGAAUACCGGUGGCGAAGGCGGCAUCCUGGACCGGCAUUGACGCUGAGGAGCGAAAGCCAGGGGAGCGAAACG